rnacentral:rRNA from 1 species
GGACAGAUGGGAGCUUGCUCCCUGAUGUUAGCGGCGGACGGGUGAGUAACACGUGGGUAACCUGCCUGUAAGACUGGGAUAACUCCGGGAAACCGGGGCUAAUACCGGAUGGUUGUCUGAACCGCAUGGUUCAGACAUAAAAGGUGGCUUCGGCUACCACUUACAGAUGGACCCGCGGCGCAUUAGCUAGUUGGUGAGGUAACGGCUCACCAAGGCGACGAUGCGUAGCCGACCUGAGAGGGUGAUCGGCCACACUGGGACUGAGACACGGCCCAGACUCCUACGGGAGGCAGCAGUAGGGAAUCUUCCGCAAUGGACGAAAGUCUGACGGAGCAACGCCGCGUGAGUGAUGAAGGUUUUCGGAUCGUAAAGCUCUGUUGUUAGGGAAGAACAAGUGCCGUUCAAAUAGGGCGGCACCUUGACGGUACCUAACCAGAAAGCCACGGCUAACUACGUGCCAGCAGCCGCGGUAAUACGUAGGUGGCAAGCGUUGUCCGGAAUUAUUGGGCGUAAAGGGCUCGCAGGCGGUUUCUUAAGUCUGAUGUGAAAGCCCCCGGCUCAACCGGGGAGGGUCAUUGGAAACUGGGGAACUUGAGUGCAGAAGAGGAGAGUGGAAUUCCACGUGUAGCGGUGAAAUGCGUAGAGAUGUGGAGGAACACCAGUGGCGAAGGCGACUCUCUGGUCUGUAACUGACGCUGAGGAGCGAAAGCGUGGGAGCGAACAGGAUUAGAUACCCUGGUAGUCCACGCCGUAAACGAUGAGUGCUAAGUG